rnacentral:rRNA from 1 species
UUACUGGGUUUAAAGGGUGCGCAGGCGGGGCCUUAAGUCAGUGGUGAAAUCUCUUCGCUUAACGAAGAAACUGCCAUUGAUACUGAGGUUCUUGAAUCUAGUUGACGUUAGUGGAAUGUGUCAUGUAGCGGUGAAAUGCUUAGAUAUGACACAGAACACCGAUCGCGAAGGCAGCUAACGAAGCUAGUAUUGACGCUCAGGCACGACAGCAUGGGGAGCAAACAGGAUUAGAUACCCUGGUAGUCCAUGCCGUAAACGUUGAUCACUCGACAUUGGCGAUAUACUGUCAGUGUCCAAGCGAAAGUGUUUAGUGAUCCACCUGGGGAGUACGCUCGCAAGGGUGAAACUCAAAGGAAUUGACGGGGGCCCGCACAAGCGGUGGAGCAUGUGGUUUAAUUCGAUGCUCCGCGAGGAACCUUA